AUGAGAACAGAACCAGUGCACUAGGCAAGGGCAUAUUUUGCAGUUGGUUCUAACUGUUAGUCAGUGGAUAACAACUUGUGUGAAUCAUUCAAUCAUGCAAUUGUGGAUGCAAGGUUUUAUCCAAUAAUUUCCAUGCUAGAGAAAAUAAGGAAGAAAAUAUUUGCUAGAAUUCAAGAACAAAGGGCCAAAGGUGUGAAAUUGCAUGGGAAAAUAUGCCCUAGCAUAUUCAGAAAGUUGAAAGCCAGCAUAGCAAGAAUACAGUUCAUGGAGGUCCUUUGGAAUGGCAAAGAUGGGUUUGAAGUGAGACUGGUAACUAAGAGAAGAAGGCAAUACACUAUAAGUCUUGAAAAAAGAACUUGUUCUUGUGGUUAUUUCCAACUUUCAGGUCUUCCUUGUUCUCAUGCCAUAACAGCAAUACACAAGUGUGGGAAACAAGUGGAAGAUUACAUUGAUCCUUGCUAUAGCAUUGACACAUUCAUGAGCAUUUAUGAGCAUUGCUUGGAACCUGUGGAAGGUGAGGAGAUGUGGCCUAUUUCUGAAAAACCUAGGCCAGAAGCUCCUGAUUAUGUUAAAGUUAGAAUGCCAGGCAGGCCCAAGAAAAAUGCUAGGAGGAGGGAAUACCAUGAGAAACCAGUUGGUAAAAAAAUGAGCAAACAUGGCACUGUUAUUGUUUGUUCAAUGUGUGGCACUGAAGGCCACAACAAGUCUGGUUGCAAGAAGAAUCCAGAGAAGGGCAAGAAAAAAUGCACAUCUUGUAAAGGCAACCAAGAAAAGAAAAAGCACUGA
rnacentral:rRNA from 1 species